rnacentral:tRNA from 1 species
GCGCCUGAAAGCAUUGAAAUAAUUGAUACUCACCAAAGAGUAAAUUCCUCCGGAGGCAGAGGUCAGAGGUUCGAAUCCUCUCGGGCGCGCCA